AGCAUGGCCAGGGGCGGGGCUUCCCUGAGGCGCGCCGAGAGGCGGUGGCCCACUUCCGGCAAUAAUCGCCUGGUCGCCGUCAGGUGCCGGCCCAGGUGGCAGGCGCGCCCGUUGGGCACUGGGGGACGCGGGCGCGUCAGGUGAAGACUGGGGGCUGCAGGCGCGCUAGGAGAACUAUGCCAUUUUUGGGUCAGGACUGGAGAUCUCCUGGAUGGAGUUGGAUUAAGACAGAAGAUGGCUGGAAGAAUUGUGAAUCUUGUAGUCAGAAACUUGAAAGAGAGAAUAACCAUUGUAACAUCAGUCACAGCAUUAUCUUAAAUAGCGAAGAUGGAGAAAUACUCAAUAAUGAAGAGCAUGAAUAUGCAUCCAAAAAAAGAAAAAGGACCAUUUUAGAAAUGACACAAAUACUCAAAAGGCAUGGCUAUUGCACCUUGGGAGAAACCUUUAAUCGGUUAGACUUCUCAAGUGCAAUUCAAGAUACCCGAAGGUUCAAUUAUGUGGUCAAACUGCAGGACAAAUUCGAGCAUCUUAAAAUGAUUCAACAGGAGGAGAUAAGGAAGCUCGAGGAAGAGAAAAAACAACUGGAAGGAGAAAUCAUAGAUUUUUAUAAAAUGAAAGCUGCCUCUGAAGCACUGCAGACUCAGCUGAGCACUGAUACAAAGAAAGACAAACAUCAUAUCUCUCUUGAUUCUUAGUAACAAUUUGGACAAGACAGCAAAUGCUAUUGUCGAAGUUUUCUAAAGAAGAAUCUGAAGUGAAAUGACAUCAAGAGACCUAUCAAGACCUGUAUCCAGGAAAAGACCAAACCAAUGCAGACCAAACCAAUGCAGAACUCCUAUGUGCUGAUGGUGGUCUUACAUUUCCCUAAGUUUCUGCCGACUAAACUGUGCACACGUUCUCAGGACCUCCUGAAGCUGCGUCACAGGCACUAAUCAAAGAACACAACCAAGAGUUUGGCCUUUUCUUCAGCACUGGGAAUUGUGAUCCAAAGCUUUUCCUGAUGAAGCACAAAGUUGGAGAAAAAAAAGCAAACUAAACAACAACAAUGAAACAGAACAGAGUUAAUCUGCUGUAGCUCAAGAGAGGAUGUACCUGCCCCCACCCCGCAUCCCUGGGCUCGGGUUUGCCUUGCUGACCUCUGCUGCCACCUGGUGCCACACAGAGAAACUGAGGAGAAACCACAUCAGUCUCCUUCAGCCUCAGCUUCACAUCUGUGGGUCAAGUAACCCUUUCAGAAGCUGAAUAAUGUGGGAAAGCUUUCCUCUCAGGAAAAUGCACACAUCCAACUUUGAGAAGAUGCCCUUGGGGGUGCUUCAAGGAUCCUAGAUAAAGAACCCCCUUUCCCGAACAUCCAAGAACCUAAGUUUUUUUUUUUUUUUUUGAGAAAGUCUCGCUCUCUCUCCCAGUCUGGAGUGCAGUGGCGUGAUCUUGGCUCACUGCAAGCUCCACCUCCCAGGUUCACGCCAUUCUCCUGCCUCAGCCUCCCGAGUAGCU